CCCAAGAGAUCGGGAUAACACCUGGAAACAGAUGCUAAUACCGGAUAACAACAGAUGAUGCCUAUCAACUGUUUAAAAGAUGGUUCUGCUAUCACUCUUGGAUGGACCUGCGGUGCAUUAGCUAGUUGGUAGGGUAACGGCCUACCAAGGCGAUGAUGCAUAGCCGAGUUGAGAGACUGAUCGGCCACAUUGGGACUGAGACACGGCCCAAACUCCUACGGGAGGCAGCAGCA
rnacentral:rRNA from 1 species